rnacentral:tRNA from 2 species
GGGCGCAUAACUCAGUCCGGUUAGAGUGCCAUCUUCACACGGUGGAAGUCGCUGGUUCGAAUCCAGCUGUGCCCA